CCUACGGGUGGCAGCAGUGGGGGAUAUUGCACAAUGGGGGAAACCCUGAUGCAGCGACGCCGCGUGGGUGAAGAAGCGCCUCGGCGCGUAAAGCCCUGUCAGCAGGGAAGAAAAUGACGGUACCUGAAGAAGAAGCCCCGGCUAACUACGGGCCAGCAGCCGCGGUAAUACGUAGGGGGCCAGCGUUAUCCGGAUUUAAUGGGUGUACAGGGGGCGCAGACGGCGAUGAAAGCCAGGAGUGAAGGCCCGGGGCCCAACCCCGGGACUGCUCUUGGAACUGCGUGGCUAGAGUGCAGGAGGGGCAGGCGGAAUUCCUGGUGUAGCGGUGAAAUGCGUAGAUAUCAGGAGGAACACCGGUGGCGAAGGCGGCCUGCUGGACUGCAACUGACGUUGAGGCCCGAAAGCGUGGGGAGCAAACAGGAUUAGAUACCCGUGUAGUC
rnacentral:rRNA from 1 species